UACAGAGGGUGCGAGCGUUGUCCGGAAUCACUGGGCGUAAAGGGCGCGUAGGUGGCCUGAUAAGUAGGGGGUGAAAUCUCGCGGCUCAACUGCGAGGCUGCCUCCUAAACUGUCGGGCUCGAGCAGAGUAGAGGCAGGUGGAAUUCCCGGUGUAGCGGGGGAAUGCGUAGAGAGCGGGAAGAACAUCGGUGGCGAAGGCGGCCUGCUGGGCUUUUGCUGACACUGAGGCGUGACAGCGUGGGGAGCAAACAGG
rnacentral:rRNA from 1 species